UACGAAGGUGCCAAGCGUUAUCCGGAUUUAUUGGGUUAAGGGUAGCGUAGGCGGCUUAUUAAGUCAGUGGUGAAGACUUCAGCCUAAACUGAAGAACUGCCAUUGAUACGUGAUGAGCUUGAGUACAGUUGAGGUGGGCGGAAUGUGUCAUGUAGCGGUGAAAUGCGUAGAUAUCUGGAGGAACACCGGUGGCGAAGGCGGCAUCCUGGACCAACACUGACGCUGAGGAGCGAAAGCCAGGGGAGCAAACGGG
rnacentral:rRNA from 1 species